rnacentral:rRNA from 1 species
CGAGUCGAGUAGUUUGGGAAUGCUGCUCUAAAUGGGAGGUAUAUGUCUUCUAAAGCUAAAUACCGGCCAGAGACCGAUAGCGCACAAGUAGAGUGAUCGAAAGAUGAAAAGCACUUUGAAAAGAGGGUUAAAUAGUACGUGAAAUUGUUGAAAGGGAAGCGCUUGUGACCAGACUUGGGCCCGGUGGAUCAUCCAGCGUUCUCGCUGGUGCACUCCGCCGGGUUCAGGCCAGCAUCAGUUCGCCGCGGGGGAAAAAGGCUUCGGGAACGUGGCUCCUACGGGAGUGUUAUAGCCCGUUGCAUAAUACCCUGGGGCGGACUGAGGUUCGCGCUCCGCAAGGAUGCUGGCGUAAUGGUCAUCAGCGACCCGUCUUGAAACACGGACCAAGGAGAA